rnacentral:rRNA from 1 species
UACGGAGGAUGCGAGCGUUAUCCGGAUUUAUUGGGUUUAAAGGGUGCGUAGGCGGGCUUUUAAGUCAGCGGUAAAAAUUCGGGGCUCAACCCCGUCCGGCCGUUGAAACUGGGGGCCUUGAGUGGGCGAGAAGAAGGCAGAAUGCGUGGUGUAGCGGUGAAAUGCAUAGAUAUCACGCAGAACCCCGAUUGCGGAGGCAGCCUUCCGGCGCCCUACUGACGCUGAGGCACGAAAGUGCGGGGAUCGAACAGG